rnacentral:rRNA from 1 species
UACGUAGGGGGCAAGCGUUGUCCGGAAUUAUUGGGCGUAAAGAGCGUGUAGGCGGUCCGGUAAGUCAGCUGUGAAAGUCAAGGGCUCAACCCUUGAAUGCCGGUUGAUACUGUCGGGCUAGAGUCCGGAAGAGGCGAGUGGAAUUCCCGGUGUAGCGGUGAAAUGCGCAGAUAUCGGGAGGAACACCAGUGGCGAAGGCGGCUCACUGGCCCGGUACUGACGCUGAGGUGCGAAAGCGUGGGGAGCAAACAGG